rnacentral:rRNA from 1 species
UACGUAGGGGGCAAGCGUUGUCCGGAUUUACUGGGCGUAAAGCGCGCGUAGGCGAACGUUUAAGUGUGGCCUGAAAGCCCCCGGCUCAACCCGGGGGAAGGCGGCUGCAAACUGGGCGUCUUGAGGGCGACAGAGGAGUGUGGAAUUCCAGGUGUAGCGGUGAAAUGCGUAGAUAUCUGGAGGAACACCGGUGGCGAAGGCGGCAUUCUGGACUGUAACUGACACUGAGGAACGAAAGCCAGGGGAGCAAACGGG